GAAAGAUGCACAUGCUUUCACAUGGGUCUUCAUGCCAUGGCACACAUUAGCCGGCAGUGUUUCUGAGUGGUGUAGAAAAUAGUUGUGCAUCCCAGACACAAUGAAAUAUGGUUAUUUUGCUAAUAUCCUGUUUCUGGCAAUUAAACUACUGUGUAUCCUUUGGGAAAUCACGAGGGUGGGCAUGUGCCCCAUCUGCUUAUGCAGAGGGUGGAGGACCAGGCAGAAUCAGGAGAUCUGAGCUGGCCUCCCUCUGCACCCCACCCCAGGCACCUGCCUCCUCUCCAGCUUAUCUCCCCCAUCCCCUUCCCGGGUUGCCAUUGACAACCUGCCAUUCUCAGAGCAUGCUUCUGAGCUGCCGAGCCUUCGCACCUGCUGGCUCCUCCACCUGAAUGUCCUUCUCUCUGUCCUCUUCCUGGAAACCCCAGCUGCCUCAGGAUAUGGUUCAGUCAUCACCUCCUUCAUCCAGCCUUCUCUACCUCUUUGUCUUAACAUUGAAAUGGCCAGCGUGUUCUUCUACCUGCCUGCCAGACAUGCAGGCCCAAGGUACCAGGAGGCAGAUGCUGACAGAUGCAUCUCAGUAUGCCCGGCACCUCCACCACACAAGGGCUGUGCUGGUUGCUGUGGGAAUGCUGCAGGGCACAAAACGGAUAAUGCUGGAGGGAGAAGACAGCAAACACAAGGCUCAAGAAACUCCAGUAUGUAAGAAGAGGACAUGCACAAUGGAAGAGGGAAGCCACCAUGCAGAAUGUCGGGGUGCACUUUUAAAUGGGACAGUCAAGGGAUCAUCCUGGCAGCUAUGUAGAGCAUUACUAUAGGGGUCAAGUACCGCAGCAGGGACAGCAAUUAGUAGGCUACUGCAAGAGUCCAGGUAAGAUGUGAUGGUGCCUUAUGCUAGGGUGGUGGGAGUGGGGGAGGUGAUGGGGGAUGGCUAGGUGCUGAGGUUCUAACAGAGGUGGAAGGUGGAGCUGUCCGGGUUUCCUGAUGGUUUAGGUAUUUGAAGUGAAAGAAAUAGCAGAAUCAAGGAUGACUCCAAGGUGUCACCAGAAGGAUGGAGCCAUCAUUAACCAAGUGGGGAAGACUGUAGGGGCGGUGGGGAACAGGUUUGCAGAGGGGAAGAUGAGGAAUUCCAUUUGAGAUGCAUUAUUAGACAUAUUAGAUCUGAUAUAUCUAUUAAACACCCAAGGGGAGAGUUUGAAUGGGCAACUGCUUGUAGGAGUCUGGAGUUCUGGGAAGAGGGUCGAGGCUAGCAUUAGAAAUGUGGAAGCCAUCAGCAUACAGAUGGAUGAGCUCACAAGGGAGAGAGUGUAAGGAAGAAAGACAUGGAGGCCUGAGCCCAGGGCGCUGCAAGGAGUAAGGUGGGGAGGGAGGAGAACCAGCAAAGGAUGCAGGAAGAAGUGCCCAUGGUGAAGGAGGAAUACCCACUUGUUGAAACUUCAGUGUGUUGGCG
rnacentral:lncRNA from 1 species